GAAACUAACAAGGAUUCCCCUAGUAACUGCGAGUGAAGCGGGAAAAGCUCAAAUUUAAAAUCUGGUAGUCUCUGGCUGCCCGAGUUGUAAUCUAGAGAAGCAUUAUCCGCGCUGGACCGUGUAUAAGUGUCCUGGAAUGGACCAUCAUAGAGGGUGAGAAUCCCGUCUUUGACACGGACUCCCAGGGCUUUGUGAUGUGCUCUCAAAGAGUCGAGUUGUUUGGGAAUGCAGCUCUAAAUGGGUGGUAAAUUCCAUCUAAAGCUAAAUAUUGGCGAGAGACCGAUAGCGAACAAGUACCGUGAGGGAAAGAUGAAAAGAACUUUGGAAAGAGAGUUAAACAGUACGUGAAAUUGCUGAAAGGGAAACGCUUGAAGUCAGUCGCGUUAGCUGGGGAUCAACCUUGCUUUUCUGCUUGGCUUACUUCCCAGUUGACGGGUCAGCAUCAGUUUUGACCAAUGGAUAAAGGCUAGGGGAAUGUGGCACCUCCGGGUGUGUUAUAGCCCUUGGUCAUAUACAUUGGUUGGGACUGAGGAACUCAGCACUUGUGCUUAGGAUGCUGGCAUAAUGGCUUUAAGCGACCCGUCUUGAAACACGGACCAAGGAGUCUAACAUGCCCGCGAGUGUUUGGGUGGAAAACCCGAGCGCGUAAUGAAAGUGAAAAGUUGAGAUCCCUGUCGUGGGGAGCAUCGACGCCCGGACCAGACCUUUUGUGACGGAUCCGCGGUAGAGCGUGUAUGUUGGGACCCGAAAGAUGGUGAACUAUGCCUGAAUAGGGUGAAGCCAGAGGAAACUCUGGUGGAGGCUCGUAGCGAUUCUGACUUGCAAAUCGAUCGUCGAAUUUGGGGAUAGGGGCGAAAGAUUAAUCGAACCUUCUAAUAGCUGGUUCCUGCCGAAGUUUUCCC
rnacentral:rRNA from 1 species